rnacentral:rRNA from 1 species
AGUGAACGCUGGCGGUAGGCCUAACACAUGCAAGUCGAACGGCAGCACAGUAAGAGCUUGCUCUGACGGGUGGCGAGUGGCGGACGGGUGAGGAAUACAUCGGAAUCUACUUUUUCGUGGGGGAUAACGUAGGGAAACUUACGCUAAUACCGCAUACGACCUACGGGUGAAAGCAGGGGAUCUUCGGACCUUGCGCGAUUGAAUGAGCCGAUGUCGGAUUAGCUAGUUGGCUGGGUAAAGGCCCACCAAGGCGACGAUCCGUAGCUGGUCUGAGCGGAUGGUCGGCCACAUUGGAACUGAGACACGGUCCAGACUCCUACGGGAGGCAGCAGUGGGGAAUAUUGGGCAAUGGGCGCAAGCCUGAUCCAGCCAUACCGCGUGGGUGAAGAAGGCCUUCGGGUUGUAAAGCCCUUUUGUUGGGAAAGAAAAGCAGCAGGUUAAUACCCCGCUGUUCUGACGGUACCCAAAGAAUAAGCACCGGCUAACUUCGUG